ACCCAUGCCACGCGCAGGUGUGACGCAAAGAAGGUUUGGCCCUGCGUGUCAUAAUGAGAGCAUGUAACCAUAAAUGCCAAUUCAAUUCUGAGAAUCUGUUUGUUCUAAAUGGAACAGUGUAAAGUGAACAGGUACUUUGGGUACGACACCACAAUAGAUAUAUCAGACCAAAGGAGAACAAAUUUAGCAGGAAAAUUCUUUUGAUUGGAUAUUUUUACAUAUUGUUCAGAAACUGUGUGCUAAUAAAUGACCCGCUUUUUAGGCUUGACAGCUAAGCUGUAUAUAUAGGCAGCAGGACAUUAAUGGACAUAUAAGAAAUUUGAUUCAACAGAAUAACUGUGUGCAGUCCAUAGGUUAAUGUGAGAUGCAGCAUUUUAAUCUUCAUGUUCGCACAGGCCACCAGAGGAAUUCCUAGAACCUCCCAAUGUGGAGAAUGUACUUUUAAAAAUAGAUGUUUGGCUUUUACCCUUUUAAGAUCUUUAGAUCUUAACAAGCUGUUCCAUCACAACGUAUUUGUAUUGAUCUGGAAGUAAUUGGGCAAAAUACUGCUGGGUACCUCACAGGACUGGGUCCUACAACUUUUUAUCUUGGAGGGACUGCCUUAUGAAGCCUAGAAAAAGCCAAGAAUCCCCCCUCCCACACCCAAAACAUACAGGGCCGGUGCCUGGAAUACGAUGUGAAUUCUAGCCAUUGAGGUACCACAGCAUAGGAAGCAUGGUCAGGAUGCUACAUUGUCCACCAGCGACCAUUUCAGAACCUUGGGGCCAUUAUCACCUGGUGUUAAAUUAGAACAGCCCUCCAGCUUUUCAGACUCAUCCCAUGUGAAAUGGCUCUGCACCAGAAUUGGGGAAAUGAAAAUUUAAAAAUGUACAGGCCAAAGCUGGGACAGUAUUUGUUGUUCUUUCUUUCUCAAUGUCUGGCCCGUCCCUAUUUUCCCACUGAGGCCAGUCAAUCUUCCGAUAGGCUUUAUAGGCUGCCGUUAAUGAUCUGGAAGUAAACAUAAAAUCACUGCUGAUAAAAUUUUCGGAUGAUACAAAGAAAGUAUUUGCAACUAAACAAGCCACCCGGCUGGAGGAUUAGCUGUGUGCUGGAAGCCAAUGUUUAAUCACCGCGACAAACUCCCAAGGAUUCUCCAUUUCUUGAUGUCUUCAGAGCAAGACUGGAUGCCUUUCUGGAAGAUAUGAUUCAGACAAACACCAGUUAUUGGGCUCAAGACAGGGGUACCUGGGUGGACCUUAGGGACCCGUGAUAUACAGGAGGUCAGACGAGUUGAUCUAAUGGUCCCUUCUGGCCUUAAACUCUGUGAAUCUGUGAACAUUUCUGACCCCACCCUCAAAAGCAAAGCUUGCUCACAAAUCUGAAUUACCUCUAUUGAGAGCAAGCCCCACAAGCAUUAAUAAACAACUACUCUAGAUCAACACACCUUCAAAUGCGUGACCCCAUUAAUAAGAGCAAUGCAAACAGAAUAUGUCCCCAGGCAAUUCCAGAACAAAAGGUUCAACGAUCAAUGUCUGGGGUUAAACGAUACCUUGAGGCAUUGGUGUUCGUGUGGCUAUUUACAAAAUGCCUUUACAGCUUCAUAACUCACUCCAACACAGAAAGAGCGCUGCUAAUUAUUCCAUUAUAGACUCACUCUGUAGUGAUAUAAAUAGCUAUGUUAGUGUUAGCAACCUAAUUCCACAGUACCCAAUAGAGAACCGUCAGUCAUUUACCUUGGCUAUCCAUGGACUGGGUAUGUUAACAUAAGUUAUUUUGAAAGAGAAGAGGGUUGUUUUAAAGACUAGAGCAUCAUAUUUUUCCUCCUAUGUCUAGAGCUGUUUCUGUUUGCUUGAAUCAGGUCAAAGUGAAGUGAAGAGGAAAAAUCUGUUAAUUUCAUGCAGAGAUAGACGAGAUAACAAACAAAAAUAUCGGUGUAGUUCAGCAGAGCCAAGAGUUUAGAGUUUGCCGUGGGCACUCCUUCUCCAAAUUUAGCUCUUAACCUGAAUUGCAAGGAACUUCCAGCACAAUCUCGGGCAGAAAAUAUGAGAACUAGGUUUAUUAAGUAAUUUGAGGUUAAAUUUGUUCAUGUGCAUUAAAGCUGGGGGAAUUUAUGCUUCUCUCUCUCUCUCUCCCUCUCUUCAGUAACACACACAUUAAGAAAAAUUACAUGAAAGGCAAAAAUUAACAAACAUAAAAGUAGAGUCUAUUAUUAUUUAUUUAUUAUCAUUAAUAUGUAUUAUUAUUAUUUUAUUAUUAUAAUCAUUACUAUUAGGCCCUUUGAGGAAACAUUAAAAAGACUGGAGCUUGUCCACAUGAAGAGUGCCGGACAUAAUACCUUUGUGUAGGGGCUAAGUGACCAGAAAGGCAAGUGGGGUAAAAUUAAGCAAAGGAAGAUUUAGGCCAAAUAUUAAGGAAAACUUCCAGACAGUGAGCUUUACAGUGUUAAGUUCUGGAGUCUCCCAAAUGAGAUGGUAACUGAUUCAUUUCUGGGGAUAUUUAAAAGAUGACUGGACAAAAUGGACUAUAGAGGACAAUUCUGGAUGACACCAUGGAAGGGAGAUAGAAAAGACAUAUUCAAUCAACCAGGCUAUCUCUAACUUCUAUGAACACCUUAUUAUUUCUAUAUAUUGUCUUUCAUCCCAAAACACAUUACCAGCUCUCUCUCUCUCUCUAACAAGCUGCAUGUAGUUAUGGGUGAGGUGGUUUCUUAUUAUGCCAAAUUUGGCGCCAACAAAGAAAUACAGGUAUCUCUUGGUUGAUGACAACAGAUGUUCUAACAGCGCAUAGCACUACACACAUCACAACAUUUUAGGCUAGAUAGUGGAAAGAAAACUGUGUCUUGAUGGUUGCCAAACUGUGGCCCAUCGGCUUCUGUUGAUAUACAGUGCACUCGCUGGUGAUCUGCAGAAAGUUGGCUGGUCACAUGAUACUCUCGCCCCUCCUCUUUGUUUCCAGCUGGUUAUCAUAGAAUCAUAGAAUAUCAGGGUGGGAAGGGACCUCAGGAGGUCAUCUAGUCCCACCCCCUGCUCAAAGCAGGACCAAUCCCCAAUUUUUGCCCCAUCCCUAAAUGGCCCCCUCAAGGAUUGAACUCACAAGCCUGGGUUUAGCAGGCCAAUGCUCAAACCGUUAAUUGUAUUGAAUGCAAUUUUAUAGAUUAUAUGCUUUCCUAAUGUCCUUUUUUCGUUUGUGCAACUGCAUUGGUUGCCACAGGGAUGUUCUUUGAUAGACAAUGGGAAGGGAGAUGGUCCACUUCAUCAUGAAUGGGAAACGACAUCUCCAUAAGACAAUCUCUCUUUUAAGAUGUGGUCCACAACAUGGUGAAUGUUGAGAACCCCUAACCAAUGGAACCUAGAUGAGAGGCAUUUAGAGUCUUUUUGCUGUUGUUUCUGAAGCGCGAAUCAGACCCUACGCACAUACCACCACGAAGGAUUUAUCAUAAGAAGCUGGGACGGAACUGGCAAGGAAAUUAUAGCUCCUGGAGAAAAAAAAUGAACGUGCCCACCUCACCAAAAGGCCAUGUGACCUUGUUGAUAGAGCCCUGGGACUUGGAAGAUCUGGAUUCUCUUCCCAGCUCAACCCCAGUGACCUUGUGCCUCAGUUUUCCCCACCUAUAAAAUGGAGAGAAUGCAGCCAAUCUCCUUUGUGAAGUGCCAUAAGACCUUCUGAUGAAAAGCAAGGGACUACUAUUGUUCUAAGCAUCAUCACCCUGUCUAUAUUCCAUAGUAACAUUUGCCAGUCAGGUACACUUUCUUUCUGGCCCACAACGUGCUGAGCGCUUCCUGCAAAAUACUCGGCACCCUGAAACCCCGCUGGAGUCAAUGGGAGUUGAGGCCCCCUAGUGGCUUGGAAGAUCAGACCUUUUGAGCGCCGUUCAGACAGUGACUAUGGUCUAAUUCUCGGCCAGCACCUAUAUACUGUGGAGAUUGGAGCCGUACACGCAUCUGAGAGAGACUGAGAAAACAGACGCUAACCCAUGGCAUCAGCUGGACGUGUGGCAUCAGAUCAGCAAUUUCUCUAUGUGCCAGAAUGCAUCUAGCAGUAGCUGGAUUGUUUAACCCCAGAAGGCAUUUGGAGAUGCAAUCUAUCUGAAAGACCCUGCUCCUCAGAAUAAAGGUAGCUGAAGUGAUAUCUUCUCCUGGAACAAAGAACUUGUGCGUAUUCAUACAAUCCCCUGCAAUUCACACGAAGAUAAACUCAGAGCUUUCAUUGUUAGGGUGUCUGCCCCCCCCAUCUUUGCAAACCCUGUGCAAGUUAAAAUUUGGGUUAACCCCCACUCCAAAACCCCAUUUGACCUUCCCUUGAUUUAGUACAGAACAAGAAGUCUCUUCACUUGAGCAGUGGUGCUAGGACUUUUCCUGCCUGUGGUUCUGAAAAGGAAACUCUUUGCGUGCAUUAUACAGUAGAGUAAACAAAAGGAAGAAAAGCUGCAGAUCUGGAACAAAAGGCCCCAAGGCUAAGACAAAACAAAAGGAAAGGAAUAAAUUUAAAAUCCUAACACUUUAUUGGAACUGCAGAAAUGACUGCUAAUGUUUCGACUGAAAGUCAUUUUCCGAGCAAACUGUAGGGACCGAUCCCACGUUUCUUGAGAAUUGAGGGUUCCCAGAAUCCCACUGGAGAUGCUCAGCACCACACAGAAUUGGCCCGUUACAAUUUAUGCAACGCCUUGUUUGGAAUAAUUCCAGCUGGUGACCCUGCUCCCCAACACCCCCACAAACACACCCCCAGCUUCCUGCUCUCCCUAGAACCCAAUCUCCUGACUCCUCCUCUUCUGCACUCCACCAAUGAAACGUCCUGUCUGCUUGUACAUGAACAUUGGCUUACCUCAAAAACAGCUUGUCCUAGAAACUUCACGUGAAGAUCAUGAUGAGAUGGAACACUUCCAUUGACUUCAGUAGCCUUUGGAUGAAGUCUCAAGUGCCCAGAACUAAUUUUUAAUAUUUAGGAAGUUAUUCUCUGUUGAAUUAGGAACAUCAGAAUGAUCCAUUACAGAUUCCAGGGGAGUUAAAAAAAACCAUCAAAUGACUGUUGGAAGCCUAAAUGUUCUUUUAAAGUACAUUUCUAGCCCCAUUUCCUUAUGGAAAUAGCCUUAAAAGGGUAACUCGAUUGAUAAGGCGGUUUUUCACAGUGACUUUUCUACAAUAAAUAGGUAAAAUCACAGCUUGCCUCCAACCUCACCAGCUGUGCUUUUGACUGAUACCUCCCUGGCGACCAGACAACAACUCCUAAGUCAAUUAUGCUCCUGGCAUAACUGUGCAUGCCUUAACUGGGAAACCGCUGACCGCUGUAAAGUUUUGAUUUUUUUUUACAUAUUAACCUUCACUCUGGAUUUAUUGUGGAUCUGAUGGUUGGCUUUAAAAUAUCCGUGUUCUUUUAAUAGUAUUUCAUUUUAACCAUGAAAAGAUCCGAUAUUCACCAUCAACCUUAACAAAGUUCUGUGUUUGGGUAAAAUAUAUUUAUAUAGCUGUCAAGCUUGUCUCUGCUUAGACUUCCUGAAGCAGACUCCAUCCUUCUUGAUGGCCUGGCAAGCACUUAGAACAAACUGAUCAUUACCGUAUAUAAAUAAUAACAAUACACUGAAAUUCAUUGGGUUACAUUAGUGAUAGGAAUAAUGAGGUGACAUGAGGAGGUUGGAGGUCAGUGAAUUAAUGGCACAGCUCUUUAUUAUUUAAUUUGUUUCAAUUUAAUCUACAGUUCUACUACUGAUAGUUAUUAAGUUAUGCACCCACCCCUAAAUCUCCAACUGCUAGAAGCAUCUGGCACUGACCACAGGCAGAGACACAAUACUGGGCUAGAUGGACUAUUGGUCUGACCCAGUGUGGAUGUUCUGUUCUUGACUUUAAAUUCUUCAAGAGAGUCCAGGGCAUUAGCCUUGGAGUUAGGAGUCCAGGCUUCACAUCCCUGAUUCACCACAAUUCUUUCUUGUUUCGCCUUGGGCAGGAGGUAAUAGUGCUUCCUGACCUUACAGAGGUGUUAUGAGAAUAAUUACAUUGAAGGUGAUGAGGUGCUCAGAUACUAUGGUGAUGAAGUACCCCUGAUCUCAUCAGUAGCCUCACUGAAUUUGAGACCUGCUUCUAUGGCCGUUGUAGUCCAGAUAAGUGUUGCCAUUCACUUCAAAGUGAGCAGGAUCAAGGCCUUUAGCCCUGAUUCAGGAAGAUGCAUGCCUAUCUUUACGCAUAUCAAGAGUCCCAGUGAAGUCAAUGGUGCUACUAACGUGAUUUAAGUUAAGCAGGAACUGAAGCACUUUGCUGGAUCAGAGCCUGAGUUGGGAAGAAUCGUUUUCCACCACUGAAUGGGCUGGAGCUCCAUCUCCAAAUACCAUAGAUCUCCCAGGAUUCACAGAAGCUAGGAUAUCCUGAAUUCAAGUCCAGUGUCUUACCCACAAACCCAUUCUUCUUCUCCCACAUCUUCACCGUACUGUGUGUAAUAGAUUUUUCUCUUCUGUUCCUCACUCCAUCAUUCUCAACCAUGUCAGGAGCAUCUUGCUGAGUGUAUGUUUGCCAGUUUUCAACACCAAAAAUACACCUUGUUUUAUUUCACAAGCCCAUUGCAACCUCUUCCAUCUUCACAGAGGCCUUUCUCAUUUUGUCCACUGAGCUAGAGAAUUCCCUUUGUGUUUCAUAAGGAGAGCCACAGAUGAAAAGCGCAAUAAUUAGUGCAAAGACUUCUUCAUUAUUACUAAUAUAAAUUCAGGGCAGAAUUACAGAAGCAUUUAACCACACUGCAGUGGGAAUCUGGCUGAUAUGUACGCAUUAUUUACUACAUUAUUUUUUUUACCUCUGGUUUCUUUUUCUGUUGGUACUUGGUUUUGUGUGUGUUUGUUGGUUUUAAUAUAUAGGUCUUUAACCCCUUGAUGUAGCUGGGUUGGAUCUUAUAUUAUUUAUGCAUCCUAAUGGCUAGGAAUGAAAUGUGCAACCUCUGCUGAUGUUAUUAUUAAUCCUGUAGUCACAGAAUAAUAGAUGACAGAGAUGGAAAAGACCUCUGAAGCUAUGUAAACUGUCCCCAUCCCUCCCCAGGCACUCUAGCAUUCUUCCCUAUGGCAUAUCUCUAGCACUUUGCCUAGCCACGUUUUAAAUGUCUCAAGUAAUGAGGUUUUUCAUGGGGCUACUAAUCAUCUUGCCUCCGAUUAUUGCUCUGGCUGAUGGAGUUUGCAUCUCUCUCCCUCUCCUGAUUCAUCUCUCUCUCUCUUUAUUACCUACAGGCCCAACCCACCCCUAGCCCUCUGUCUUGUACCAAGCUUGAGUGGCCAGACUUGGUGCAGGAGUUUUCUACAGGAGUCGGGGAGUCCUGAUCUCCUGGCCAUUCCUUUCAUUCUGGUCUGCAGGGAUUCAUACCCAACAGAGCAGCUUUCUCUCCUCCCAUUGCCCAGCCUUGCAGCUUGAGUGGGGACCUGCACAGUCACUUACGUACACGUGCAGUAAAUCCGCACUCAUUCCUCCUUUACAGCUGCAGAAAGAUCCCCACUGUGUUUCUCCUCGGGUUUUCUGGUUCUUGUUCCACUAUUUCCUGCCCCCUCCCACUCUAAUUCUCUAUUAUUCUCUAUAGCACCCUCAAUGUGGCUAUUUUCCACCUUGUGUUUCUGUUACUCCCUUUGCAUUUUCAUUCUGAUUUCCCUUCCUUUUUAGGUUCCUUUUCUCACUUUGAUUUUUUCUCCUCUUUGUACUUACAUUGCUCAUCAGCCUUCACCACGACAAGGCAGGACAAUUCCUCUUUGACAGGGAAGGAAGGAUGGGCUGUGGUUCAGA